rnacentral:rRNA from 1 species
GACAGAGGCCUCAAGCGUUAGGCGGAAUCACUGGGCUUAAAGCGUGUGUAGGCGGGUCGUUAAGUACCUUGUGAAAUCCCACGGCUCACCCGUGGAACUGCUGGGUAUACUGGCGAUCUUGGGCCAACUAGGGGCAACUGGAACAAGCGGUGGAGCGGUGAAAUGCGUAGGAUAUCGCUUGGAACGCCAAAGGUGAAAACAGGUUGCUGGGGUUGUGCCGACG